AACGAACGCUGGCGGCAUGCCUAACACAUGCAAGUCGAACGAGACGUUCGGGUCUAGUGUCGCACGGGUGCGUAACGCGUGGGAACCUGCCCUUAGGUUCGGAAUAACUCCCCGAAAGGGGUGCUAAUACCGGAUAAUGUCUUCGGACCAAAGAUUUAUCGCCCUUGGAUGGGCCCGCGUUGGAUUAGCUAGUUGGUAGGGUAAAAGCCUACCAAGGCGACGAUCCAUAGCUGGUCUGAGAGGAUGAUCAGCCACACUGGGACUGAGACACGGCCCAGACUCUUACGGGAGGCAGCAGUGGGGAAGAUUGGACAAUGGGCGAAAGCUUGAUCCAGCAAUGCCGCGGGAGGGAUGAAGGCCUUAGGGUUGUAAAGCUCUUUUGCCCGGAAGGAUGAUGACAGUACCGGGAGAAUAAGCUCCGGCUAACUCCGUG
rnacentral:rRNA from 1 species